rnacentral:rRNA from 1 species
AUUGAACGCUGGCGGCAGGCCUAACACAUGCAAGUCGAACGGUAACAGGAAGAAGCUUGCUUCUUUGCUGACGAGUGGCGGACGGGUGAGUAAUGUCUGGGAAACUGCCUGAUGGAGGGGGAUAACUACUGGAAACGGUAGCUAAUACCGCAUAAUGUCGCAAGACCAAAGAGGGGGACCUUCGGGCCUCUUGCCAUCGGAUGUGCCCAGAUGGGAUUAGCUAGUAGGCGGGGUAACGGCUCACCUAGGCGACGAUCCCUAGCUGGUCUGAGAGGAUGACCAGCCCCACUGGAACUGAGACACGGUCCAGACUCCUACGGGAGGCAGCAGUUGGGAAUAUUGGACAAUGGGCGGAAGCCUGAUGCAGCCAUGCCGCGGGUAUGAAGAAGGCCUUCGGGUUUUAAAGUACUUUUAGCCGGGAGGAAGGGAGUAAAGUUAAUACCUUUGCCCAUUGACGUUACCCGCAGAAGAAGCACCGGCUAACUCCGUG